AGAGUUUGAUCAUGGCUCAGGAUCAACGCUGGCGGCGUGCCUAAUGCAUGCAAGUCGAACGGUACCCCCUCGGGGGUGCCGUGGCGAACGGCUGAGGAACACGUGCGUAUCCACCUCCUCGUGGGGAAUAACCCGUGGAAACACGGGCUAAUACCGCGUACGCUUGGCGUAAGCCAAGGAAAGCCUUCGGGCGCGGGGAGCGGAGCGCGCGGCCCAUCAGGUUGAUGGCGGGGUAAUGGCCCACCAUGCCGAUGACGGGUCGCUGGUCUGUGAGGACGGCCAGCCAGACUGGGACUGCGACACGGCCCAGACACCUACGGGUGGCAGCAGCAAGGAAUCUUCGGCAAUGGGCGCAAGCCUGACCGAGCAACGCCGCGUGGAGGACGACGGCCUUCGGGUUGUAAACUCCUUUUCUGGGGGACGAUACGGACGGUACCCCAGGAAUCAGCCCCGGCUAACUCUGUGCCAGCAGCCGCGGUAAUACAGAGGGGGCAAGCGUUGUCCGGACUUACUGGGCGUACAGCGCGCGCAGGCGGCGCCAUAUGUGCUCGGUGACAUCUGCUCGCUUAACGAGCAGCGGCCCGAGUAGACAGUGGUGCUAGAGGCAGGGAGAGGGAUGUGGAAUACCCGGUGGAGCGGUGAAAUGCGUAGAGAUCGGGUGGAACACCAGCGGCGAAGGCGGCAUCCUGGCCCUGAACUGACGCUGAGGCGCGAUAGCGUGGGGAGCAAACGGGAUUAGAUACCCCCGUAGUCC
rnacentral:rRNA from 1 species